GACGAACGCUGGCGGCGUGCCUAAUACAUGCAAGUUGAGCGAUGAAGCUUGGUGCUUGCACCAAUUUGAAGAGCAGCGAACGGGUGAGUAACGCGUGGGGAAUCUGCCUUUGAGCGGGGGACAACAUUUGGAAACGAAUGCUAAUACCGCAUAACAACUUUAAACAUAAGUUUUAAGUUUGAAAGAUGCAAUUGCAUCACUCAAAGAUGAUCCCGCGUUGUAUUAGCUAGUUGGUGAGGUAAAGGCUCACCAAGGCGAUGAUACAUAGCCGACCUGAGAGGGUGAUCGGCCACAUUGGGACUGAGACACGGCCCAAACGCCUACGGGAGGCAGCAGUAGGGAAUCUUCGGCAAUGGACGAAAGUCUGACCGAGCAACGCCGCGUGAGUGAAGAAGGUUUUCGGAUCGUAAAACUCUGUUGGUAGAGAAGAACGUUGGUGAAAGUGGAAAGCUCAUCAAGUGACGGUAACUACCCAGAAAGGGACGGCUAACUACGUG
rnacentral:rRNA from 1 species